AUGCAGGGAAAGGGCGCCCUUGGAGCUGGCAGAUGGCACGGUAUAAAUAGGAGGCCAAGGCUGAGGUGGUACACUUCAGACACACCACUUCCCACAGUGCAGUUCGAAAAAUUUCAAAUCGCCCGCCUGCAUCCGAUGGGAGGCUCAGUCGCUGAAUCGAGGAGUAGUGGCACAACCAGAGGCGAGGGGCAUAAUGCGUUCCUCCACCUGAUUACUCCUCCUUCAUCUCCAUCGCCGGCGGAGUCCGUAUCUACCGCCUGGAGCACGAAACACCAGCCAGAUGAUUUGGAGCUCGGGAAUGGAGAGGGGGAGGUCGUCCAAGACGAUGCGUUUUACGAGCAGCCUCUCGUUCAUGGUUUGGAUGCCAUGGUGGGGCAAGAACCCUUGAAAGAAGGGUUUGGCGAUUACGAUCCAACUGCUGCUCCUGACUCUCCUCGAAGCACUGGUAGCUCUGCCGUCGACGACGAAUCUAGAGUCGUUUGUGGAGGCCAUGUUGUAGACACUGAAGAUGAAGAAGACAUCAUCAGCAUGCCGCCGAAACGCCAUCGUAUUUGA
rnacentral:rRNA from 1 species